rnacentral:rRNA from 1 species
GAUGAACGCUAGCGGCAGGCCUAAUACAUGCAAGUCGAACGGUGUAGCAAUACACAGUGGCGCACGGGUGCGUAACACGUAUGCAACCUACCUUACAUUGGGGGAUAGCCUUUCGAAAGGGAGAUUAAUACCGCAUAAGACAGUAACUGGGCAUCCAGUAGCUGUUAAAGAUUUAUCGAUGUAAGCUGGGCAUGCGUCCAAUUAGUUAGUUGGCGAGGUAAUGGCUCACCAAGACGAUGAUUGGUAGGGGAACUGAGAGGUCAAUCCCCCACACUGGCACUGAGAUACGGGCCAGACUCCUACGGGAGGCAGCAGUUGGGAAUAUUGGGCAAUGGGCGCAAGCCUGACCCAGCCAUGCCGCGUGCAGGAAGAAGGCGUUAUGCGUUGUAAACUGCUUUUAUACAGGAAGAAACGACCCUUGCGAGGGACAUUGACGGUACUGUAUGAAUAAGCACCGGCUAACUCCGUGCCAGCAGCCGCCGUAACAC